CCUACGGGCGGCAGCAGUGAGGAAUAUUGGUCAAUGGGCGUAAGCCUGAACCAGCCAAGUCGCGUGAGGGAUGAAGGUUCUAUGGAUCGUAAACCUCUUUUAUAAGGGAAUAAAGUGUGGGACGUGUCCUGUUUUGUAUGUACCUUAUGAAUAAGGAUCGGCUAACUCCUUGCCAGCAGCCGCGGUAAUACGGAGGAUCCGAGCUUUAUCCGGAUUUAUUGGGUUUAAAGGGUGCGUAGGCGGCCUUUUAAGUCAGCGGUGAAAGUCUGUGGCUCAACCAUAGAAUUGCCGUUGAAACUGGGAGGCUUGAGUAUGUUUGAGGCAGGCGGAAUGCGUGGUGUAGCGGUGAAAUGCUUAGAUAUCACGCAGAACCCCGAUUGCGAAGGCAGCCUGCCAAGCCAUGACUGACGCUGAUGCACGAAAGCGUGGGGAUCAAACAGGAUUAGAUACCCGGGUAGUC
rnacentral:rRNA from 1 species